rnacentral:tRNA from 1 species
GCCCUCGUGGUGUAGAGGUUAGCAUAGAGCCCUGUCGAGGCUCCGACCCGAGUUCGAUUCUCGGCGGGGGCG